ACUCACAUUGUUAGCACACUUACACUUUAACAUCAUAGUCUUAAAAAGACAUGCAGACCCUGAAGGAACAAUUCAAAAGGCAAAGACAAACGGCCGUGAGUGUCAAGCCACACAGCCACACACCCUGACUUCUAGGCUUCAUGCUCUCUGGAUGUUUCCCCAGCAACAGGAUCUUCAUCCUCCAUUUGAGAUUAGCAACACUAGAGAGAUGGAGCAGCCAAGCUCUAAGUUUUUCCAGAAGUGAUGUAAUGGAAAUUAUACAUCCGGCAUGUCGGAGAAAGCCAUUCAAGUAAUGGAAGUGGGUACUCUACCCGCGUUGAUGCCAACUACAUUUUAAAAGACAUCUAGAAGGAGAGAAACAUAACACCAAUUCCUUGCAGAAAGCUGUGGCAUCUGCACAGUGGGCGGCAGACAAGAGGAAGUAAAUAAAAAGACAUAUUUGGCAAUAAAUGUGCCAUCUCGCAAAUAAAUUGCAAACAAGCAAUUACUGCUACGCCGGUACGUGAGGCGGCUCGCUGGGAUUUCCUAACAAAGCACUGCUUGUUUUCACUUGCAACUUAACCAGGGCGAGAAUGCCAGUUCCUCUGUGCCUAGCCCAGCACUGUGAUGUCCCUCAGUCACACCAUCCUGAAGAGAUCUGCGCUCAAGACCAUCUCCUCGGUCCAGGACCAGCACUUCCCUGUGAAGGAGGACGUGCAGUCUCCCAUACGCUUCUGUAACUCCCCCCCAACAAGGCCUGUGGCAAGGCCCAGGGUCUUCCCAUCUCAGUUAACGUAAUGAAGAUAAUCCCCACGGGCAGGCCAAGAGUCCCCCCCAGGUGACUCCGGAUCCCAUCAAGGUGACGACUGAGAUGAACCAACCCAUGCUUCUUAGAUUUGUUUGCUGUUUUGGAUAAAAGCACUUUCGUAUUUCUUGCUUCUGAUCAACCCAAAGUUUCUGGGUUUCUUCUCUUUACACACGGUUUGGAUCCAAGGACAGAAAAAUGGCAAGACCCUGUCUCUGCUCUGGGCAGCUUGCAGCCCAGUGAGAAAUCAAAUAGUGGAAUCUUGUGGAAUCAAAUUGUGGAAUCAUGUAACAGAGUUCUCCAUGCUAAUGAGGAAAAGAUUGUACCUCUAAAGGAGAAGCAGAGCAAGACUCAGUUCUCACAGCACUGGAUUUCCUGAAGUGGAACAAGCCAGGUGAGCCUCCCAAUGUCCCUGAGCACAGUCUGGAACUUUCCAGUCAAGAGAAGGGGAUGGGGGAGGGAGAGGGAGAGACAGAGAGAGAGAGGAGAGGAGGGGAGAGAGAGAAGAGAGAGCCAACAGAGAGAGAACCACAGUUUUCAUGGCUCUUAAAAUCAAUUGACAAAAUAUUGACACUGUUGCAAAACCACCUGAUCUGAUUCACACACCAAAGACUCUAAGAAGUUGGGCAGGAGGGACAAAAAGACAUCUUGGACCUGUUUAGACAUUACACAAUGUGUAUGUGCCUGAGAAUAUCCCAGGAACACUGUAAAGAUGGUGUUUAGGAUACACCACAAACAGGCAGUGUUUGCGGCCUCGUCUGUCAGUCAAAACAGCAUGCUUAUAUUCAAGCUAACACACAAACAACAAGCUUCCCAACGUAUAAAAAAAUCAAGCAGUAAUGUACAAAAGAUUUCCGAAUUUGAAAAAAAAUUAAAACCCGCAAAACCAGGAAUCUCAACAAACACAGGCAGAAAAACUGUUGGGGGGGAUGCAGAAGACCAGGACAUUCCAGGAAUCUCGUAAUUAUGCCGUCAAAAACGGCCGAGGAGAAAACAGAAUCUGCAGAGCAUCCGGGGAAAGACACUGACUGGCAAGGCAGGUGAUGGAGCUUCUUGGCAGAGACCUGACGCAAAAGUUAACAUGGAAAAGAGAAAAAAACAUGAAGAGUUGAGCCUCUACAAGCAGAAACAUCCUUCAAAACAAAGAUGAAAUAAAGAUAUUUCAAGCCGGCAAAAGCUGAGGAAUUUGUUAUCCCCCCCCCCCGAUUUAAAUACUAUCAAAAGUUCUUCCAGGCUUCAGAUCAAGCAAAGAGGAGCUAGAGUAUGAUAACUCCAUAGGCAAACACAGUCACAGACGUCCAAAACUCACACUCAGAUGCGUAUAAAUGCACAGUUAAAAACGAUUUUAAAGGCAGCCAUUCUGUAACGAACUCCAGAUGGCCGUUCACAACUGUGUGAGUCUUUCUCUGCUGUAUUGCUGGGGAGAGAGUGAUUCAAAGCAUAGGAACGCACAGUUCAUGAAGACUUGGGCAUAAAAAGGGUAAAUGUCCUACUCGUCAGAAGGUCAUUAUAAAAUGACUGUUCUUUGGUUGGGGAUAGAGUUCCUCGGAGAACCAUGUGAGGUGUGAGCACAUCCGCAAGGAUUACCACAGAAAUCUCAACCGUGCAACCAGAACAGGGUUCAGACAGAAGGCUGUUGAGAGGUUAAGGUGGCUUAUGACUGGAGGAUACUCUACAAAAUGUCUGAACUCAAGAAGUUCUCUGUGAGGGCCAGCAAAAAUAGCUCAAGAAAUAAAGAUACUUGCUGUACAAGCCUGAGUUCUAUCCCAGGGACACAGGAAGCAUAGAAAGAAAAGACCAAAUCCACAGAAAUGUCUUCUGAUGUACACACACACACACACUCACGGAUGCACGUGCAUAGUAAAUUAUCUUUGACUAAAUAUUUCCUUUAUAUUUUUAAACUUUUAAUGAGUGUGUGUGUGUGUGUGUGUGUGUGGUGUGUGUGUGUGUGUGUGUUUGCUUGCGCUUUGAAUGACAUAUACUAGGAUUUUAGCCUAGAGACAUGGGAUUUAAAAUUUGGACAGCCAGUGUGGAAAAGCAAAUGCCCUUUGGAAUGAACUGAUGUGGGUGGCCCAAAAGCCCUCAAGGAGGUAUGUUCCGGAUCAGAUGAGUUGUAAGACAUCCAAACCUUUCCCGAGGCUGUAGCUCAGACCCUGUCAUGUUCUGGGCCAGUCUCAGACUAUGGAGAAAUCUUGCAUGGGAAAGGUCUUUAGUGAAUGGCACCAAUGACUGAAAAGAGAAGUCUCAUAACAAGUUAGCUUUGUUCCACCUCCAAACACUUAUGUGGAUAAACUUGAGAAAAGAAACUUAAAUGCAUUUACUUUAGACCAAUAAGUAAAAUUUCCACCAACCGACCCAUAUACAACAGGUGUGAUUGCAGAGCCUUGACAUAGAAAAGUCAUUUACAGACUGUGAAGUAAUAGGCUAUUACGUCUGGGGAAAUGGUUCAGUCUGUGUUUAGUGCACAAACAUGAAGGUUUGAGUUUAACCUCCUGAGCCCAUGUGAAACUUCCAGGCAUGUUAGCGCACAAUUGAGGUUCUAGACCUGGAAAAGCAGAGACAGGUGGGUUUGGGUCCUGUAGCUUGCUACCCAGUCAAUGGAGACUAUUCGAUGAGUUUCUGGCCAAUGAGAGGUGCUGUUUCAAGGUGGGCAGUGCCUGAGAAUGACUCCUGGCCUCCACACAGCAGUGAACACAUCUGCAGAUGCAUUAGUGCACACGCACGCACACCACACACACACACACAGACAUACACACACACACACACACACACACACACACACACACACACACACACACACACACACACUAGCUAUUAGAAUGGUUGACAGUGGCAUUGUACCCGGAGUGUAGGAAGGAGGCAUUAUUUGUUCUGACUGCAGACACAGGACUGGCUCACAGAGAUGAGGAGAAUCUCUCCAGGAGGCAGAAAGACUGACGGUCCCAGCAGGAACUUGAGUCUAGAUGUCCAGUCUUUCCACUAGUCACAGUCAUGUUCUACUGCAGACCCACUUAUGAGAAAAGCCUUAUUCCCCCUGAAGCCUAUGUGCUAAGAACAAGCAAAGCCAAGCAGCAGAGCCUUCCCGUCCGCUGGCUCUGCUCUGAAAAUCCUUAAGUCUUAAGCUACUUGAAAUUAAAGCCUGAUCCCUCUCUCAAAGCGUUCUCUGGAGUGGACUGGGUUAUUCUGGGUGCCCGAGAAAGGGCAGAACGCUGCCGUAUCCUCUCUGGAGCGAACACCUGCAGCAAUUUCUCACACCCAAGGUAAUCUCAUGUACUUGCUGCUCAACAAUGCUUAGCAAUCUGUUCGGUGAGGUCACGCUUCCUCAGCAAACAGCAGAAUCUAAACAUCUACUCCAGGCGUGGGACGCCCACUGGAGUUAAAUUAGGUGGGUGUCUGCUUGGUUAACGAGUUUCCCACCAACUCAGCUGUGGCCAUCAUAAGUAUUGAUCUGGCACAAACGAGAAAGCUGAUAUCCUCAACCUAUUGCUUAACCCUUGGUUAUUUCCUCCAUAUAUUUCUACUCUCCUAUCUCUGUUGGGAGGUGUAUGUAUGUCUAUGGGCUAGUAUGUGUACAUGUAUGAGGGUUAGUAUGUGUACGCGUCUGUGGGUUAGUAUGUAUACAUGUAUGAGACCAGAGGUCGAGUAGGAGUGGUAUUCUUCAUUGUUGGUUGAAUCGGGGCUCAUUGGUUUCUGCAGGUCAUUGAUUAGACUAGGCUGUCUGGUCUGUGGUCCCCUGUGACCCACAGGUGACACUACCCAGACUUGGCUAUUUCGUGGGUACUGGGGAUGAAGUGUAUGUCCUCAUACUUGCAAGGUGGGCACUGGGCAGACUGAGGUAUCUCCUCGAUCUCCCUUGUUAGCCUGCCUAUCUCUAGGCUCAGGUUCCUAACAAGGGUCUAUGGAUUAAGGUUGUAAAGAAGAAUCCUGUGUGGGCUUUGACCACUGCGAUUGCCUGUCUAGCAGCCUCCCAUUUCAGAGUUGCCUUCAGCUCUGUACACCCUGCCCCCUACUGUUUAUCAGCAGUCAAUGGGAUUUUGCAGUGACAAGUGACAUCCCUGAAAGCUUGGGACAGACUUUGCUGAGCGUGCACACACAGCCUUGCACACCUAUUAAGUUGAAUUUUUGCCAAGGACCCUUUAGCCAAUCCUAAUGAACGGCUGUUUUCCAUUUAAAACAGCGUUAACUUCCUACGGUUUGUUACCUAGAAUGUAAGCAGCAAUGACAACAUCGAGGGGCAGAGGUGUCCCUGUGCCGGGAGCCCGAGUGUCCCCAGAGCCUGUGAAGUAAGUUUUGGUGGUUCUCAUGCCUCUUCUACUGCUAAGAGCAACUGUGCAUCCCUGAGUUUAAGACGAUCUGCAAGGGGAGAAAGUGUUUUAUCUCCCACUGCUUCAAACGUCUGGAUGUGCAAAGCUCUGUGUCUGUGAGAGCUUUGCCUUGUUCCUUAGAUUGCCACACCAUGAUGAAUGUGUAGAACUAACCAUUCUGUUAGAGAGUGCUAUGCCUCCAGAAGUUGAGAAAGCCCCCUUAGCCUCUGCCAUAGUCUGAUGCUUUCGCUACUAUAAUUUUAAAUGUUUGGCACACCCAUCAAGUCUUAGUAGAAAUUCCCCUACUGUAAGAGCAGGAGCCCAAGCGUACCGAUGGGGAAAUGAGUAGUUAACAGAGAAAGGUCUCUGGUUUUGUGGGUAUCAGCCUCGGAUUUGAACAUCGAAGAAGAUUGGGAUAUUAAAGUGUCAAGACACUCCUUUUACAACCAAACUUCUAGGAAUGGAAUGCGGUUCUAGGUUACAAGCUCCUAAGGCUAUCUCUUUCUUGUCAGGUGCUUACAAGGAAGGGUUCAGUGAGCCCACUCACUACCCAAUUCGGCAGACAACAGAAGUCUACCCAAUGCAGUGGAAAAGUACAAGCAGGGAAACGCACACUCCCAAAAUAGAAACUCUUCGGUGGCAAAAAACAUUGGAAAUGAUAAUACCGUCCCACUACACACAUUUAAUAAAUUUAAUCAAUUAG
rnacentral:sRNA from 1 species